AAAAGAUUAAGUUAUUAAGGGCGCACGGUGAAUGCCUUGGCACUAGAAGCCGAUGAAGGACGUUACUAACGACGAUAUGCUUUGGGGAGCUGUAAGUAAGCUGUGAUCCAGAGAUUUCCGAAUGGGG
rnacentral:rRNA from 1 species